rnacentral:piRNA from 1 species
UCACUGGAUCUCACUGGUUCUCAGGGUCUC